GCAUAACUAGUAUUGGAGGCACUGCCUGCCCAGUGACGACCGUUAAACGGCCGCGGUAUCCUGACCGUGCAAAGGUAGCAUAAUCACUUGUUCUCUAAAUAGGGACUUGCAUGAAUGGCCACACGAGGGUUUUACUGUCUCUUACUUCCAAUCAGUGAAAUUGACCUUCCCGUGAAGAGGCGGGAAUAUAUUAAUAAGACGAGAAGACCCUAUGGAGCUUUAACUACUUAACCCAAAGAAAUAAAUUUCAUUACUAAGGAAACAACAACACUCUUUAUGGGUUAACAGCUUUGGUUGGGGUGACCUCGGAGAACAAAAAAUCCUCCGAGCGAUUUUAAAGACUAGACCUACAAGUCGAAUCACACAAUCGUUUAUUGAUCCAAAAAAUUGAUCAACGGAACAAGUUACCCUAGGGAUAACAGCGCAAUCCUAUUCAAGAGUCCAUAUCGACAAUAGGGUUUACGACCUCGAUGUUGGAUCAGGACAUCCCGAUGGUGCAACCGCUAUCAAAGGUUCGUUUGUUCAACGAUUAAAGUCCUACGUGAUCUGAGUUCAAACCGGAGA
rnacentral:rRNA from 1 species